GAUGAACGCUGGCGGCGUGCCUAAUACAUGCAAGUCGAGCGAACAGACGAGGAGCUUGCUCCUCUGACGUUAGCGGCGGACGGGUGAGUAACACGUGGAUAACCUACCUAUAAGACUGGGAUAACUUCGGGAAACCGGAGCUAAUACCGGAUAAUAUAUUGAACCGCAUGGUUCAAUAGUGAAAGACGGUUUUGCUGUCACUUAUAGAUGGAUCCGCGCCGCAUUAGCUAGUUGGUAAGGUAACGGCUUACCAAGGCAACGAUGCGUAGCCGACCUGAGAGGGUGCUCGCCCACACUAGAACUGAGACACGGUCCAGACUCCUACGGGAGGCAGCAGUAGGGAAUCUUCCGCAAUGGGCGAAAGCCUGACGGAGCAACGCCGCGUGAGUGAUGAAGGUCUUCGGAUCGUAAAACUCUGUUAUUAGGGAAGAACAAAUGUGUAAGUAACUAUGCACGUCUUGACGGUACCUAAUCAGAAAGCCACGGCUAACUACGUG
rnacentral:rRNA from 1 species